AUACGGAGGAUCCGAGCGUUAUCCGGAUUUAUUGGGUUUAAAGGGUGCGCAGGCGGCCAUUUAAGUCAGCGGUUAAAUCGUGGGGCUCAACCCCAUUCUGCCGUUGAUACUGGGUGGCUUGAUUGCGGUCGAGGUUGACGGAAUUCGUUGUGUAGCGGUGAAAUGCAUAGAUAUGACGAAGAACACCGAUUGCGUAGGCAGCUGACCAGACCGCAAAUGACGCUCAUGCACGAAAGUGCGGGGAUCGAACAGGAUUAGAUACCCUGGUAGUCCGCACAGUAAACGAUGAAUACUUGUUUUCGGCGAUAUAAUGUCGGAGGCAAAGCGAAAGCGAUAAGUAUUCCACCUGGGGAGUACGCCGGCAACGGUGAAACUCAAAGGAAUUGGCGGGG
rnacentral:rRNA from 1 species